CCCGAACUUGUUUCCUACCACUGGAUUAGUUGCACCAGUCUCGAAGCACUGGAGGGAGAAACGUCAACCAGAAGCUCGUUCGAUGAAAAAGUCAAUCGGCCCGAACGCAAUCCUAUUGAUCCUAUCCAGUCCCCUCCUUCCCCACUCACCCACUUCUCUCUCCCACCUCUGGCCGCCUACUCCGGCAGCUGGUCGCGCUGGUCCGUGCAUGGCGACCGUGAAGCCCGGUACACGCGGCACCACCCGGAGCCUCCCCGUCUCUUGCGCAGGUGAUGAGGCGGCUGUCGGUGAGGUGCCCGAGGUGGUCAGCGGAGGAGACGAAGUUGAGUGCGGCAUGGGGGAGCUCCACUGACCCCCAACAUCAGGGGCGUCACGACUCAUGCGGCGGGACGGGGCGGGCUCCGUUGUCCUCGCCGGCUUCGUGGCUUGGGGGCUUGGGGGAGGGAGCCGCGAGUCCGGUAAUUACUUGCAUGCACUGCGGUGGAGAGUAGCGAUUCCGCAGAUUCCGAUGGAGAGCGGAGGUGGGGGCCCGGUGAUGAGUUCCCUGGGACAUCUCCAUGGAUGCACCCGCGGUAGGGGCGGCGUGAUGGAGUCCUCGCCGACGGCAUCCAUCCUCAGAAGGGAGCGCAGUGGAGAGGUGCUCAUCAAGCUCAGCCAGCUCGCGUUGUACGGCGGGGCGAGGGGGAUCUGGCAGGUCGAUGCGCCGCUGCUCCCCUUCUGCUAAGCCCGGAGGGCCCCUGCGGGCCGUGCUCAUGUCCAGCACGGUCUACUGCCUCAUCUCGUGUUAAGGCUCCAUCAUCACAACCGGGUCCGUCGUGCUCACCGUCAGCGCCAACGACGCUUCAACUCUUCAGCGCGUCAUGCUCACCAUCAGCUGGUGAGCAAUUUUGCCAUGGUGCAGAAUUUUUUGAACAUAAUUUUCCAUGUCCUCAUGAAACAUCCUUUAAGUUUGCCAUGCUACACUAAAAUCUGAGUAGCAGACAUUUUUCCCGUGAUUUGUUUAGUUACUAAAUUUGACAUGCCAGUCGUACAGAAUUUUAACAUUAUUUGAUCCUAUAAUACAUGGCAAUUUCUAAUCACGAUGUUUAGCAUAACAUGGCAAUUUCUUAGAUCAUUACGAAUUCUCACGCCAUGGCAACUUUUAGAAAUUGUUAGUUCAUUCACAUGCCAUUAUUUUUGAUAGUUUUGGCCCUAACAUCAUGGCCCAACUCAGAUUAUUUGUUUCUAAUGAUCAUAUGGCAAAUGUAGGCUUUUUUAGUAACUAUGCGUCAUACGGUUAUAUGGCAAUGAUGUGAUAAUUGCAUUUUAGUAACAAUUUGUCAUCAUUUCAUCAAUGUGGGGGGUCAUUUCUGAAAGUUUCUAAAACAUGGCAAUAUGUGAAAGUUUUCUAAAAUGUGGCAAACUUCUCUAACAUCAAAUAGUUUGCCACCAUUUUUUCUCAAAAUGUAUUUUUCAAAUUUCUCUAACAUCACAAACUUACUAUACGAACCAUGGCAAACUUAGUUAAUGGAUCAUGGCAAGUUUAAUUCAAAUAGCAUGGAAAAUUUUGUCUUAUCGUUUGCAAAAUUUACAUAUAUGACAUUUCUUCUUUAAAGAUUUCACAUGGCAAAUUUAACUCAAGUCCCAUGUCUAAAUUUGCCAUGUUUUUAGACAUCUCCAAAUUUGCCAUGUCAAACGAUCACAAAAACAUGGCAAAUUCUAAAAGUGUCUAAAACAUGGAAAACUUGCCAUCCUUCAAAUAGUUUUGCCACCAUUUUCUUUGAAUGUAUUUUUUAUUUUCUCUAACAUUUGCAAAAUUACUAUAUGGACUAUGGCAAAAUUAGUUGGAUCAUGGCAAGUUUAAUUCAAGUACAAUGGCAAAAUUAUUUUUAUCUUACCAUUUUGUGAUGUUUUAUGUAAAUGACAUUUUCUUUAAAGAUUUGACAUGGCAAGUUCCACUCAAGUCCCAUGCAUAAAGUUGCCAUGUUUUUAGACAUCUCUUAAAUUGCCAUGACAAAACGAUCACUAAAUCAUGACAAAUUCUGAAAGUUUCUAAAACAUGGCAAACUUGCCAUCGUUCAAAUAGUUUGCCACCCACUUUCUUCAAUUACAUAUUAUUUUCUAUUUCACUAACUUACUAUGUGGACCAUGGCAAAUUGUUUUUCAUUCUUUUAAGUUUUACAUAUCAUUCUUGCCAUGUCAAUCCACUAUAUUGUAUAUACUUGCCAUGUAAACAUAAGUCUUUUAGUUUAGAUAUCUCUGAAAAUUGCCGUGAUAAAUGUCUAUAAUUCAUAUACCUUUUUUUUCUUUUCUCUUCCACAUGGAAACAAUUACUUUCUAUGAGAUCAUGGCAUAUUAAUUUCAUGGAGCAUGUCAUUUGUAGUUUAUACAUCAUGGGAAAUUAUCUUUCUUUAUUAACAAUGGUAAAAUAAUUAGUUUCUAAUGAUAGAUGGCAACCUAAGUUCAUGGCAAAUGUAGUUUGCGGUGCACGAGAUUUUUUUAUUAACAUGGCAAAUUUACCUAUAUCCCCAUGGCAAUAUUUAUCUUUUAUUGCCAUGGCAAGUUUUAUUUUUUAUUUGCCAUGGUAAUUUACCUUUAUUAACAUUGAAAAUUUACCUAAAUUCCCAUGGCAAUUUUUAACUUUUAUUGCCAUGGCAAGUUUUACGUUUUAAUUGACAUGGCUAAUUUACCUUUAUUAACAUGUCAAAUUUACUUAAAUUCCCAUUGCAAUUUUUAACUUUUAUUGCCAUGGCAAGUUUUACUUUUUAUUUGACCUUUAUUAACAUGGCUGGUUUUACUUUUUUUUGCCAUGUCAAAUACAUACAAAUUAACAUGAUUUUGGUUAUGAUUGUGGCAAUUUUAACUAUAUGCACCAUGACCAAUUUUUCUUUCUUUUUGCAACAUCACAUAUUUCUUUUGCACGGGACAGUGGCAAAUAUAGUCUAUGCAUCACGGAAAUUUUGGUGUAUGGAUCAUGGCAUUUUGUAGUCUACAUUUUAUUCUAUGGAUCAUCCCAUGAGAUUAUAGCCUAUGCAUUUCUAUCAUAAGAUCAUGGCAACUUUCUGUUGGUUUUUUCAUUUAGUUUUUAAUACACAAUUUUUUUCCAUGUACAAUGGGAAAUCCAAACUUGCCAUGUAUUUUUUUAGAGAAUAAGAUUUGUAAAGGUUGCCAUGUGUAACAUUUUUUCCUUAGUUCAUAUUCAUCAUCACAAUUUUGUACUAAUUUUUCUUUAUUAUCAUGCAUGUUUUAUUUUUGUAACAUACUGGACGUAGCCAUUUUAUUAUAUCUCAGUUGGCAACUAAUCACUCAUUGUAAAUUGGCAACUAAUCACUCAUUGUAAAUCCUAAUGCAGUAUCAUUUUCUGAAUUU